rnacentral:rRNA from 1 species
GAUGAACGCUAGCGGCAGGCCUAACACAUGCAAGUCGAACGGUAACAUAUCCUUCGGGAUGAUGACGAGUGGCGCACGGGUGCGUAACGCGUAUGCAAUCUGCCCCUAUCUGGAGGAUAGCCCGGAGAAAUCCGGAUUAAUACUCCAUAACAUCAUGAAUUCGCAUGUUUUUAUGAUUAAAGCUCCGGCGGAUAGGGAUGAGCAUGCGUCCUAUUAGUUUGUUGGUGAGGUAACGGCUCACCAAGACUUCGAUAGGUAGGGGGCCUGAGAGGGUGAUCCCCCACACUGGUACUGAGACACGGACCAGACUCCUACGGGAGGCAGCAGUGAGGAAUAUUGGACAAUGGGCGAAAGCCUGAUCCAGCCAUGCCGCGUGCAGGAUGACAGCCCUACGGGUCGUAAACUGCUUUUAUACAGGAAUAAACCCCCUUACGUGUAAGGGGCUGAAUGUACUGUAAGAAUAAGGAUCGGCUAACUCCGUGCCAGCCGCCGCCGUAACAC